rnacentral:lncRNA from 1 species
UAUGUUGGUUUGUUUGUACCGGGUUGAAGCAGAAUCCAGGUUACUCUUGCAAAUUUUAGUAGAGAGUAAGAAAGCAAUUGGAAGAAGGAGGCGUUAGAAAGGAUGAAGAGAAGAAGGAAGCCACGUGUAUAUCUCUGCAGGUGUUGUCAGAGAAGUCGACACGUGACAAGGUUGUUACAAAAAUAUUUGAUGGAGAAUAUUACCGGUGUAAUGGUCUCCUUCGAUGACGGAGGAUGAAAAAUAAAAGAUAAAAUAAUCGAAAGAAUAAGAAUAAUAAGAAGAAUAAGAAGAAUAAGAAGAAGAAGAAGGAAAGAAUAUUUAACGUGUCGCUAAAUCCUUGGUGAAAACUAGUCAAAAGGAUAUAUCUAUUUGUGAAGUUAGGAAGAUAAUCCCUGCAGUGGUAACGGGAAGGAGGAAAGAGUAACGGGAAAGGAUCGGGUCUUUCCUCUUGAGUGGAGCAGAAGCGCGAGAUAAAAGGUAACGUUUCUCCUAAUUUUUUGAAGGCCCGAAACUCAGUCGGAAGAAGAAAGGUUUAAAGAUAAUGUUACUACCGGAUCGCCAUCGUUCUCGAAUGACAUAGCACGUGUACCAUCGUGCCUUUUUUUUUUAUAAAAAAGAACAGAUAGGAAGAAA